CUGUCUCUUAUUAAUUAUUAAUUUAAUUUAAUUUUUAAGUCAAAAAGCUUAAAUAUUUUUAAAGGACGAGAAGACCCUAUAGAGUUUUACAUUUUAAAUUUUAAAAGAUUUUAUUUUUUUUUAUUAAAAUUUUAAUAUGUUUUGUUGGGGUGAUAGUAAAAUUUAAUAAACUUUUAAAAUUAUUAAAACAUUGAUUUAUGAAUUUUUGAUCCUAUAUUUUAGAUUAAUAGAAUAAAUUACCUUAGGGA
rnacentral:rRNA from 1 species